rnacentral:lncRNA from 1 species
CAUUCAUUCCUCUUUGUAUUGUCCUUUUUCUCUUCCUUUCUCCUUUUAUUUUCUUUCAUACACUAUAGUGGAGAAUUUUGGAGUUUUUUUUUUCCUUAUGGAAAUGUGUGGGAGAAUCUGUAAAGCUCAGGAGGGAUAGCGCCAUGGAUGAAUAUUAGUAACACUAUUGCUUGUUUUAGCCAUCUGUAGCGCUAUCCAUCCUGAGUUUCAUAGCUUCUUCAUGCUCUCUUUUUAAUGCAUACAAAGCUGGAUCCAAAAUUUUCAAUCAUAUAUAGAGAUUCUUAAUAUUAAACUCAUCGUAUUUCAUAUAUAUGCACCUAUUUGUGACAAUUUAGUGGAUUAUUUCGCAUCGAAAAUAUUGAGUUUAGAUGAAUCCGACGUUGCAACACCGCGUCUGCCUUUAUUGCAUGAUGCUACAUUAUCUCCUUUACUACACUCAUUGUGUACUUCAACUUUCAGCUUCUGAGAGUAAAUGGUGAUUCUGGUUGUCUUUGAUAUGCUUAACUUUUUCAUGUCCGGCGUUUUGUUUUAGAGUUUAAGUUAAGGGUAGUGAUCGGGUAUACUUCUUUUCUUACACCUAACAUAUACUCCCUCAUAUCCACUUUAAUUAAUUUUUUGGUUUUUUUUUGUGAUCCAUAAUAUUUAAUUUUUUUAGAUAUCAAGAAAGAAUUAACUUCUUUUUUUCAAAGUUGCCCUUGGAGUAUAAGGCCUAUGAGUAUUUGUUAUAUUUUUAGUGAACAAAUUAAGGUUAAUAUGGUCAAUUUGGUUGUUAAUUAAUGCUAAAGAGUAGAUUUUUUAAUAUGUACGAAAACAAUUAAAAAAUUAAUUAAAAUGAACCGGAGGAAGUAACUAUUUAUAAUUAGCUCAUAUAGUAUCCUGAAAAACUGAGAUAAUAACUUGUUAUAACCGGGGGCGAAGCUAUGAAGGUUAAGAGUUUCAAUUAAAGCCCUUUUAUCGAAUAAAAAUAAAUUUGUAUGGGUAGAUAUAAAUUGUUGAAUUUUCUUAACAUAAGGGAAGUUUUUGGUGUACUAGCAAAUUAAAUGUGAUUCAAAAAUUGUUUCAAGUCGUAAGCUCAAAUUUGCGGCAUUCUUGCAUUUUUUGAAAUCCGUUAUUAGAAUUUUUAAUUUUGAGACAUAGCCUAAAACUUACAAAUUACAUUGACAGUGUCAAAUUUGCAUAUUCAACAAUAUAUAUAACUUAAGAGUUAAGUCUUUGGUUUUAACUUCAUAGAGUAUAUGGUAUACUGUAUAUGAUACUUAUCCAGGGCGUGUGCAUAUGUGAAAACCUUGUGUGGAACAGAUGUUUGUGCAUUCAAUUAAUUCAACUAACACAUAGGGGACUCCUAUUCUUAGAAAAAACAAAUUUCAAGCCAUUUUUAUGGUUAAAAUGUUAUUACGGUCAGAAUUUAAAUUUAGAUUAAAAAUGUAAAAGAAUUUAUAUUAUCAAAUAUCGAUUUGAUGGUAAACUUUUUAAAACCGUCAAUAUAUAAGCUUCUCUUUCAGGAUCUCACUUUAGAAAUCCUAGCUAGAAAUCUUAUUUGAUUUUACAAACAACAUGCUUAAAAUAAAAGGAAGCUAACAAAAAAAAACUCAAAUUGUCAGAGAAACUCUUAUUGCUGUUAAUAAUAAUUUUUAUUUUAUAUGCCNNNNNNNNNNNNNNNNNNNNNNNNNNNNNNNNNNNNNNNNNNNUUUUGUGAAAUGAUAUUUCAUUUGCAUGACAGCUAGCUAUGAAAUAAUAGUUGUUGGGUUCUUUGAUCAUUUUUGUGGUGCUAAGAUUCGGAACUGUGUAUUCAUUAUUUCUGCUUUAAUAUUUGUUUCUUGUGCAGGUACAAGGAAUCUUGUUUAUUAUCAGAGUCCUAUAACUAUAGCAUAGUCCCUUGAAAAAAAACAAAAGAAAGCUAAUAUUGGGUGAGUUGUCAGCUCUGAAUAUAACUUGGACCUAAUUCCAUUUUUGGGUAACUCAUAUUCAUAGGCUUGAUAAGUCUUUUCCUUUCUUUUUCUUUUCUGCUGAUGGACAAUAGAUUCUGGAUCUAACGCAUUUUCAUUUUCAAUUUUUAUCAUUAAGUAGUGUUUUAUGUGUGUAUAAGAAUAUAGACAGAACUCAUCUACCUAAGUUUUAAUGAGCGAUAUUUGUACUGGUAGAAUAAUUGAAAUGCACAAACAAAUUAUUCUAGACUAUCACUUCAUUAAAAAAGAAUAGAUAAAAUUUGCAAUUUUCUGAGAUUUAUUCCCCUCAUUCCAGGUAGCUGUGUUCCCACGUUUGCCUUUGAAUGAUAUACACUAAGAUACAAAUAGCAAGUGGCUGAAAAUAUAUUUUUCUUUUUUAUAGGAAAACUCAAAUUACUUGGUCUUGCAAACUUUUGUACCCUGCAAACAUUGAUGAGUGAUAUUGAGGUGGCAAAUGGGGGAAUUGGGCUAAAUUUGGAUGGAUCUAAUUAUUUUCUCCCGUUCACAAUAAGUAAUUAUUUUACAUUUUUAUUUUAGUCUAAAAUAAGUGUCAAUUUACAUAAUCAAAAAAAAAUUAAUUUUAUUUUUCUAAAAUUUAUCCUUAUUUACAUAUUCCAAUGUGUAAAGAUAACAAUUAAUUAAGGUUAAUUUAGUGAAUACAUAUUCUUCUUCUUUUUCUCGGGGAGUUCGUAUUUCCUUAAUGGGUGUGCCAAAUGUAAAAUAGUCACUUAUUGUGAACUAGAGGGAGCAAUAAACAAACACGAUUCAGCUCGUCCAAAUUUGUUCGAGUCAAGAUGGAUCGGGUCAUAAGUAGCCUUGUCUAACAUGACUCAAUCUCUUUUCAUUUUUUAUUUUUUAUUUUUUAUUUUGCUAUUUGAAAACAGAUGAAAGCUAAUGUAUAUUUUUAAAAUUAUUACUUUAAAUUUACAUAAUUCUCAACCUUCAAAUCUGAUUUUGUAUGUUUGGAUAUAGAUUGCAUUUUAACCAACUAGGUUAUACUAGCUUUACCCAAUAAUUUGAUAAGUUAUUUUGAGUUCAAUCUAUUGAGUCAAAGUCUGACAAAUAAGAUAUGAAACAACUCAUUUAAAUUUGAGGAAUUUUCAGAAACCACUAUUGUUUAGUGGCUAUUAACUUCCUAUAUCUAUCAUAUACAUAAUUACUUCUUAUAGCUACUAUUUAGUUGUUACGAUAGUGUAUUCGUUGUAUUCGCGCUGCUGUAUUCAUGAAUACAAUAGCAAAAAAGCCUAAAAAUCAGGGCAAUCCAGCUGUACGCGCAUGUAUUCACAUGUAUUCGCGUCAUGUAUUCAUGAAUACAGUAACGAUAAUUACCUUAAAAAUAGGUCUGUCCAGCUGUCUAAUAACGGAAAUAAUAUCAAUUAGCGUGAUACACUCCUAAUAUAACUUAACAAAAUUAAUUCUAACAUGCCUCAUUAUCAACCCAAUUAAUUAGAAUAAUUUUUCAGUUGUAUAUAUCUGUUGUAUUUAACUUUUGUAUUUAGUGUGUUUCAAUAUUUUUUUUAUUGUUGCAUUCAUUAUAUUCAAUAUUUGUAUUUACUGUAUUCGUUAUUUUAUAUUAAGUGUAUUCAAAUGUAUUUGUAUUAUCAGUAUUUUAGUUAUUCUUAAUACAUGUUAUUACUGUUGUAUUCAGUAUAUUUCAUUGGUUGUAUUCACUGUAUUUUUAUUUGUAUUUAGUAUAUUUUAC